rnacentral:tRNA from 1 species
UCCCGAGUUGCUCUGCUGGCAUGGGCGGCCAGACUUUGAAUCUGGUAGUCGCAGGUUCGAUUCCUGCCUCGGGAGCCA